UACGGUAGGGCGCAAGCGUUGUCCGGAAUUAUUGGGCGUAAAGAGCUCGUAGGUGGCUUGUCGCGUCUGCCGUGAAGCCCAUGGCUUAACUGUGGGUCUGCGGUGGAUACGGGCUGGCUAGAGGUAGGUAGGGGCAAGCGGAAUUCCGUGGUGUAGCGGUGAAAUGCGCAGAUAUCAGGAGGAACACCGGUGGCGAAGGCGGCUUGCUGGGCCUUACCUGACGCUGAGGAGCGAAAGCGUGGGGAGCGAACAGG
rnacentral:rRNA from 1 species